rnacentral:tRNA from 1 species
GAGAGUAUAGCUCAGUGGUAGAGCACAUGCUUAGCAUACAUGAGGUCCUGGGUUCAAUCCCCAGUACCUCCA